UACGUAGGGUGCAAGCGUUAUUCGGAAUUACUGGGCGUAAAGCGUGCGUAGGUGGUUCGUUAAGUCUGAUGUGAAAGCCCUGGGCUCAACCUGGGAAUGGCAUUGGAAACUGGCGACCUAGAGUGCGGUAGAGGGUAGUGGAAUUCCCGGUGUAGCAGUGAAAUGCGUAGAGAUCGGGAGGAACAGCUGUGGCGAAGGCGACUGCCUGGACCAGCACUGACACUGAGGCACGAAAGCGUGGGGAGCAAACAGG
rnacentral:rRNA from 1 species